rnacentral:tRNA from 1 species
GCGUAGGUGUGCCGGAGGUCGUGGGUCCGGAACGAAGCUGGGAACUUCGGGUUCAGAUGUUCCCGCGUCCAGUCGCGGGCCCGCGCA